UAGUUCGUGGCUCACGAAGGCUUGUGCUCAAGUAGAUUUGUUGGUCUCUGGGGUGCCACAGGUACUCCUUUUCUUUUUGCUGUAACAGUGAGUCACUUAUGGUGACAGGUUUCAGUGUGGUAGCCGUGUUAGUCUGUAUCAUCAAAAAAAACGAGGAGUACUUGUGGCACCUUAGAUACUAGUAGGUUUGUUUGGGCAUGGGCUUUCGUGGGCUAAUAGCCCACCUUAAUUGAUUGGGUGCAUGGAGUGGAGA